AUUGAACGCUGGCGGCAGGCUUAACACAUGCAAGUCGAGCGGGGUGAUGGUGCUUGCACUAUCACUUAGCGGCGGACGGGUGAGUAAUGCUUAGGAAUCUGCCUAAUAGUGGGGGACAACAUCUCGAAAGGGAUGCUAAUACCGCAUACGUCCUACGGGAGAAAGCAGGGGAUCACUCGUGACCUUGCGCUAAUAGAUGAGCCUAAGUCGGAUUAGCUAGUUGGUGGGGUAAAGGCCUACCAAGGCGACGAUCUGUAGCGGGUCUGAGAGGAUGAUCCGCCACACUGGGACUGAGACACGGCCCAGACUCCUACGGGAGGCAGCAGUGGGGAAUAUUGGACAAUGGGGGGAACCCUGAUCCAGCCAUGCCGCGUGUGUGAAGAAGGCCUUAUGGUUGUAAAGCACUUUAAGCGAGGAGGAGGCUCUUUUGGUUAAUACCCAAGAUGAGUGGACGUUACUCGCAGAAUAAGCACCGGCUAACUCUGUGCCAGCAGCCGCCGUAA
rnacentral:rRNA from 1 species